GCUGGGGUGGCGGAAUUGGCAUACGCAGCGGACUUAAAAUCCGUGGCCGCAAGGCUUGAGGGUUCGAAUCCCUCCCCCAGUACCA
rnacentral:tRNA from 1 species